rnacentral:rRNA from 1 species
UACAGAGGUCCCAAGCGUUGUUCGGAUUCACUGGGCGUAAAGGGUGCGUAGGUGGCGCGCUAAGUCGGGUGUGAAAUCCCGGGGCUUAACCUCGGGACUGCAUUCGAUACUGGCGUGCUUGAGGACUGGAGAGGAGACUGGAAUUUACGGUGUAGCAGUGAAAUGCGUAGAGAUCGUAAGGAAGACCAGUGGCGAAGGCGGGUCUCUGGACAGUUCCUGACACUGAGGCACGAAGGCCAGGGGAGCAAACGGG